GGACUACCCGGGUAUCUAAUCCCGUUCGCUCCCCUGGCUUUCGUCCCUCAGCGUCAGCGGCCUCCCAGGACACUGCCUGCGCCAUUGGUAUUCCUCCGGAUCUCUACGCAUUUCACCACUCCACCCGGAAUUCUAUGUCCCUCUGAGGCCCUCGAGUCCUGCCGUCUGCCCGGCACUCCCCUAGUUAAGCCAGGGGCUGGCACCGCACACGCGCAGAACCGCCUGCGGACGCUUUACGCCCAGUAACUCCGGACAACGCUCGCCCCCUACGUAUUACCGCGGCGGCUGGCAC
rnacentral:rRNA from 1 species